AUCCCUGUGGCUCAGUUGGUAGAGCAUUGUGUUUGCAACGCCAGGGUUGUGGGUUCGAUUCCCACGGGGGCCA
rnacentral:tRNA from 1 species